UACGUAGGGUGCGAGCGUUGUCCGGAAUUAUUGGGCGUAAAGAGCUCGUAGGCGGCUUGUUGCGUCUGCCGUGAAAAUUCACAGCUUAACUGUGGACGUGCGGUGGAUACGGGCAGGCUUGAGUUCGGUAGGGGAGACUGGAAUUCCUGGUGUAGCGGUGAAAUGCGCAGAUAUCAGGAGGAACACCGGUGGCGAAGGCGGGUCUCUGGGCCGAUACUGACGCUGAGGAGCGAAAGCGUGGGGAGCGAACAGGAUUAGAUACCCUGGUAGUCCACGCUGUAAACGUUGGGCGCUAGGUGUGGGUGACUGUUCACGUUAUCCGUGCCGUAGCUAACGCAUUAAGCGCCCCGCCUGGGGAGUACGGCCGCAAGGCUAAA
rnacentral:rRNA from 1 species